UCUGGGCAGUUUUGAACACAAAGCACCAAUUUGGACGAAUUUGGGUUUUAACUUGUACCAAAACACUUAAAACAUAAACCAACACACUUUCUAACUAAUCUAGGACUUCAAAAUAAAUGGGGAAUUGAUUUGGACGAAAAUGAACUAAAUGGACAGAUUGCAAGGAAAACAGAUUGUAAUGGAAACAGAUUGUAACACAAAGUUAUGAAUAAUCAAUGGAUGAUGGAAUGGCUAAGGGGUUCUUCUCCACAC
rnacentral:lncRNA from 1 species